UCCAGACUCCUACGGGAGGCAGCAGUGGGGAAUAUUGCGCAAUGGGCGAAAGCCUGACGCAGCGACGCCGCGUGAGGGAUGAAGGUCUUCGGAUCGUAAACCUCUGUCAGCAGGGAAGAACGGUCACUGUGCUAAUCAGCAGUGAAUUGACGGUACCUGCAAAGGAAGCACCGGCUAACUACGUGCCAGCAGCCGCGGUAAUACGUAGGUGGCAAGCGUUGUCCGGAAUUACUGGGUGUAAAGGGAGCGUAGGCGGGAGGAUAAGUUGGACGUAUAAACUAUCGGCUCAACCGGUAGAGGCGUUCAAAACUGUCCUUCUUGAGUGAAGUAGAGGUAAGCGGAAUUCCUAGUGUAGCGGUGAAAUGCGUAAAUAUUAGGAGGAACACCAGUGGCGAAGGCGGCUUACUGGGCUUUAACUGACGCUGAGGCUCGAAAGCGUGGGUAGCAAACAGGAUUAGAUACCCCUGUAAA
rnacentral:rRNA from 1 species